rnacentral:misc_RNA from 1 species
UUGAAUCCUCAAUAAUAUAAAAUCCUGCUUUCCACUCACUUUCUUUACCUUUCCAUAACCUCAGUAGCUUAUCUAACACAAAUGCAACCCAGGAUCCAUUGCUUAAUUGCAGAUAGCUCUCAAGAAUUGUAAACCCAGAAAUUUCAAAAUGACCAAAGAGAUAGAGAAAAGAUUUGUAAAGAGGAGAAUUUUGAGUUUUGAGAGAGCGACUGGAAGCAAAAAUGAACGGAGAGAUUUGGUGGCUUUUGCCAUUUUUG